rnacentral:ncRNA from 2 species
CGUAAGAGGGGAGUAAGGAGUACUUCGCUAAGGAAGGAGAGCCAGCAAGGGAAGUCGGUGUGAGUCCGACGCAGUGCCCGCUACUGUAAGUCAUCCCCUACAAUCGUAAUACGAUCUGUGGGCUUCUUUCUCCGCUAGGGGCUACGGCUCUGCCACUGAGACCAGAUCUUGGGAAGGUCAGCAAGGAAGAAGAUGUCAGGAUGAUAAGCCAGGAGACCUGCUUAUAAGAUCCAAGUGUA